rnacentral:rRNA from 1 species
GACGAACGCUGGCGGCGUGCUUAACACAUGCAAGUCGAACGGAAAGGCCCUGCUUGCAGGGUACUCGAGUGGCGAACGGGUGAGUAACACGUGGGUGAUCUGCCCUGCACUUCGGGAUAAGCCUGGGAAACUGGGUCUAAUACCGGAUAGGAGCCAUUUUUAGUGUGAUGGUUGGAAAGUUUUUUCGGUGUAGGAUGAGCUCGCGGCCUAUCAGCUUGUUGGUGGGGUAAUGGCCUACCAAGGCGGCGACGGGUAGCCGGCCUGAGAGGGUGGACGGCCACAUUGGGACUGAGAUACGGCCCAGACUCCUACGGGAGGCAGCAGUGGGGAAUAUUGCACAAUGGGCGCAAGCCUGAUGCAGCGACGCCGCGUGGGGGAUGACGGCCUUCGGGUUGUAAACUCCUUUCGUUAGGGACGAAGCUUUUUGUGACGGUACCUAGAUAAGAAGCACCGGCUAACUACGUG